GAGGACACAGUGUUUGUUCCCUCUAGGGGACACAACAACAAGGCACCUUCUUGGGUCCUAGAAGACGGGGUCCUCACCAAACACCAAACCUGCUGGCACCUUGAUCUUGAACUUUCAGUCUCCAGAACUGUUGAUUCUAAGGAAGCCAACAGCCGUGUUGUGAGUACCCAAUGGAAAGUCUGUUGUGGCAGAAAACUGAUGUCUCCAGCCAACAGCACUGAGGCCCUGAGACCUGCCAACUGUCAUGUUACAUCUCAAGGAGAAGGAUUGCCAGAUCAAAAGUCUUGCAGUUAACCAGGCGUGGUGGCAGAUACCUGUAAUCCCAGCUAUUCGGGAGGCUGAGGCAGGAGAAUCGCUUGUACCCGGGAGGCAGAGGUUGCAGUGAGCUGAGACCGCGCCAUUGACUCCUGCCUGAUGACAAGAGAGAAUCUACGUCUCAACAACAACAACACGCUUGGGCACUGUAUUAACUCCAUAAUCGGUUUAUUCAUAAUGCUGCAUCAUCCAACCAUCAUCCAACCUAUUUAUCAUUCACAAUGCCACCUGUGAAUACUGGCUUCCAUUGACUCUUUCAAGAAUUGCUACUGGGCCUCACCAAUGUUGACCACAAAUGCAAGUCAUACUGAGAGUAUGUAGUACAUGUGAAUAAUAAUUAGUUUUCUUGUCAUAUUAAACAUAUCAUUCAUACUAGUAUGAACAUAGAGAAA
rnacentral:lncRNA from 1 species